rnacentral:rRNA from 1 species
AGUGAACGCUGGCGGUAGGCCUAACACAUGCAAGUCGAACGGCAGCACAGUAAGAGCUUGCUCUUACGGGUGGCGAGUGGCGGACGGGUGAGGAAUACAUCGGAACCUACUUUUUCGUGGGGGAUAACGUAGGGAAACUUACGCUAAUACCGCAUACGACCUACGGGUGAAAGCAUGGGAUCUUCGGACCUUGCGCGAUUGAAUGAGCCGAUGUCGGAUUAGCUAGUUGGCGGGGUAAAGGCCCACCAGGGCGACGGUCCGUAGCUGGUCUGAGAGGAUGAUCAGCCACACGGGAACUGAGACACGGUCCAGACUCCGACGGGGGGCAGCAGUGGGGAAUAUUGGACGAUGGGCGCAAGCCUGAUCCAGCAAUACCGCGUGAGUGAAGAAGGCCUUCGGGUUGUAGAGCCCUUUUGUUGGGAAAGAAAAGCAGCAGGUUAAGACGCCGCUGUUCUGACGGUACCCAAAGAAUAAGCACCGGCUAACUUCGUG